GGGGCGGCAGACGGGAGAACAGAGGCUUGCUUUAUUUUUCUGUUUUUCGCAGCUUGAGAGAAGAAAAGGACAGAGGAGGGUUUUUUUCUAUUCCACCAGCCGCGAGCCUUCACCACCGCCUGCAGCGAGGCUUCUUCUUCCCAGCCGUGAGAGCCUUCCCAGCUGAGAGAGGAGCACCGGCAACCGUGAGCCUUCCACCGCCGAGAGAUCCUUCCAGCUGCAACGGACGGGAGAGGGAGACGACGAGAGAUGGGUGCGGCGUUGGGUGUCUCUAACCUCAUGCGGAAGUUCACGCAAGGGACGAGUUCAACGGGGGAGGAAUGUGAUGUUAACAAUCAACAAAAGAGGAAGUAGAUGAACCAGGCUAAGAGUGGAGGGAGAGGCAGGCAUGGAGGUGGAAGCAAAAGAGUUUGUGGAAUCCAUAGUGCUGAAAGGAGCAAACCUUGAUGUUCAUCUGCCUUCUGAAAUCAUAUAGAAAUAAAUACUCAUUUAUCAGGGAGAUAUAUGCAUCUGAACACUUUCUUGCCGCAACAUUUACUAGGAAGAGAUCAUUAAAGGUUGAAAGCCAUGUCGAAGACUAGCUUCCCAAACCUUAUCAAUGCUGAAGAUAGUGUCACCACACUCGUGUGCAUUCCAUCCCUCAAGGGCAUGAACUAUCCCAGCAACGCGCCAUGCACUCAUAACCCUUCUUGGCAACCAGUUCUGCCACAUAUUUAAUUACAAGCAUUUCAAUAACACCGUUAAAGAGUGGUAAUAAUAAUUUUGUUAAAGAAGUAAAAUAAUAAAAUAUUUGGUUCUGUAUAUAUCAACACCUUCCAUUAUUGUCUAGAUGAAUAACAAUGAUAGUUUUUAUGGUCUAACAUGACCAAUAAAUGGAUUGAAUUUUUAUCCUC